rnacentral:rRNA from 1 species
AUGGCUCAGAUUGAACGCUGGCGGCAGGCUUAACACAUGCAAGUCGAGCGGGGGAAGGUAGCUUGCUACUGGACCUAGCGGCGGACGGGUGAGUAAUGCUUAGGAAUCUGCCUAUUAGUGGGGGACAACAUCUCGAAAGGGAUGCUAAUACCGCAUACGUCCUACGGGAGAAAGCAGGGGAUCUUCGGACCUUGCGCUAAUAGAUGAGCCUAAGUCGGAUUAGCUAGUUGGUGGGGUAAAGGCCUACCAAGGCGACGAUCUGUAGCGGGUCUGAGAGGAUGAUCCGCCACACUGGGACUGAGACACGGCCCAGACUCCUACGGGAGGCAGCAGUGGGGAAUAUUGGACAAUGGGGGGAACCCUGAUCCAGCCAUGCCGCGUGUGUGAAGAAGGCCUUAUGGUUGUAAAGCACUUUAAGCGAGGAGGAGGCUACUUUAGUUAAUACCUAGAGAUAGUGGACGUUACUCGCAGAAUAAGCACCGGCUAACUCUGUGCCAGCAGCCGCGGUAAUACAGAGGGUGCGAGCGUUAAUCGGAUUUACUGGGCGUAAAGCGUGCGUAGGCGGCUUAUUAAGUCGGAUGUGAAAUCCCCGAGCUUAACUUGGGAAUUGCAUUCGAUACUGGUGAGCUAGAGUAUGGGAGAGGAUGGUAGAAUUCCAGGUGUAGCGGUGAAAUGCGUAGAGAUCUGGAGGAAUACCGAUGGCGAAGGCAGCCAUCUGGCCUAAUACUGACGCUGAGGUACGAAAGCAUGGGGAGCAAACAGGAUUAGAUACCCUGGUAGUCCAUGCCGUAAACGAUGUCUACUAGCCGUUGGGGCCUUUGAGGCUUUAGUGGCGCAGCUAACGCGAUAAGUAGACCGCCUGGGGAGUACGGUCGCAAGACUAAAACUCAAAUGAAUUGACGGGGGCCCGCACAAGCGGUGGAGCAUGUGGUUUAAUUCGAUGCAACGCGAAGAACCUUACCUGGCCUUGACAUACUAGAAACUUUCCAGAGAUGGAUUGGUGCCUUCGGGAAUCUAGAUACAGGUGCUGCAUGGCUGUCGUCAGCUCGUGUCGUGAGAUGUUGGGUUAAGUCCCGCAACGAGCGCAACCCUUUUCCUUACUUGCCAGCAUUUCGGAUGGGAACUUUAAGGAUACUGCCAGUGACAAACUGGAGGAAGGCGGGGACGACGUCAAGUCAUCAUGGCCCUUACGGCCAGGGCUACACACGUGCUACAAUGGUCGGUACAAAGGGUUGCUACACAGCGAUGUGAUGCUAAUCUCAAAAAGCCGAUCGUAGUCCGGAUUGGAGUCUGCAACUCGACUCCAUGAAGUCGGAACCGCUAGUAAUCGCGGAUCAGAAUGCCGCGGUGAAUACGUUCCCGGGCCUUGUACACACCGCCCGUCACACCAUGGGAGUUUGUUGCACCAGAAGUAGCUAGCCUAACUGCAAAGAGGGCGGUUACCACGGUGUGGCCGAUGACUGGGGUGAAGUCGUAACAAGGUAGCCGUAGGGGAACCUGCGG